rnacentral:lncRNA from 1 species
GCUAGGAUCAUAUAUGAUCAUUUGGAUACUUAUAAAACAUACACAUAAAAGAGAACUGAUUAAGGUGGUUUACCCAAUAACACGUGUAACAACUUCAUAACAUAGAGUUAUCCUAAUCAAAGUGUUUUGCAGCGGAAAACGUGUGAGAUAUACAUAUGAAGAUGUAUACUCAAGGUUACAUUUCUUGAAAUGUCAAAGGACACCCGCUCAACAUCAUUCCAUUCCAUCAGCUGCUCAACCUGCACAUUUAGAAAUACAUGCAGGGCUGAGUAUAAAAAUACUCAGUGGGCAUAGCCGAAAAUACAACAUGCAUACAUAUAUAAAUUGAACUGCCAUAACAGUAACACACAGGGGUUUUCUUAAAUGACCUGCGCUUACUAAAAUAUUUCUUUCAUUUUCAUAAAGUCGAUCGGCCGAUCAUUUUCCUUCAUAUGAUCCAUAUCUGUUCCUUUCUGUCACGCGCCGGGAAGGAGGCCUCCUUACCACGGACGCCAAGACCGGUCGCAAGCGACUCGCGGUCUCCAUGAGUGUACACGUUAACCCUAGCUAGCGACCUUUGUCUAGCAUAGGAUCCCAAUUGGAUUUCCUUUAAAGUUGGCGAACCAACACAGAUAGGAUACAUAUAAAAACAUAAACAUUUUUGGCAGUCAAUCAUUUCAUAAACAUUUCAUUUCAUUUCAUAAACAUUUCAUUUUCAUUUCAUAAGAGUCAUUUAUCAUUUGGGCAUAAUAAUAAACUGAAAUUAACAGUUAAAAUCAUCUCAUGCAUAUAUUCGUAUAAGAGGCCUACGACACGCAGGGGAUCUCUAUAUACGUAUAGUAAAAGUAAUGCCCACCUGGAUAGGCAAAGCCUGAAGAUCAUAAUCAC